rnacentral:rRNA from 1 species
AACGAACGCUGGCGGCAGGCCUAACACAUGCAAGUCGAGCGAGACCUUCGGGUCUAGCGGCGGACGGGUUAGUAACGCGUGGGAACGUGCCCUUCUCUGCGGAAUAGCCACUGGAAACGGUGAGUAAUACCGCAUACGCCCUUCGGGGAAAGAUUUAUCGGAGAAGGAUCGGCCCGCGUUAGAUUAGAUAGUUGGUGGGGUAACGGCCUACCAAGUCUACGAUCUAUAGCUGGUUUUAGAGGAUGAUCAGCAACACUGGGACUGAGACACGGCUCAGACUCCUACGGGAGGCAGCAGUGGGGAAUCUUAGACAAUGGGCGCAAGCCUGAUCUAGCCAUGCCGCGUGUGUGAUGAAGGUCUUAGGAUCGUAAAGCACUUUCGCCAGGGAUGAUAAUGACAGUACCUGGUAAAGAAACCCCGGCUAACUCCGUG